UUCAGUAGCACCUGGGGGACUCAAUCC
rnacentral:piRNA from 1 species